AGAUCACCAUGGUGACUUGCAAGCAACUCACUAUGCUUUGUGCCAGACUACUUGAAUUUUUAAUUCAAUGACGAAAAGUUUCUGGGCAUAGUCAAGUACUUGUGAAGUCGGUGUGUGAGUCAAGAUGAAAUUGAUCCCUCUGAAUAAGUAGGAGUUAAUGUAUCAGUGUGUUUCAAUUCAGUAAAAUCUUGACCAGGAUAAUCC
rnacentral:lncRNA from 1 species